AAAUGAAUGGCCAAAAUUAUCACAACAUUUCACCAAAAUACUGAAAUUGCAUAUUUGCAAUUCAACAAAAACCAAAUACAGCAUUUAAAGAUCAAAAUUUCUUUUAACGAAAUCAUCUCAACACAUAAUUUCAACAAUUAUAAAAGCGUAAACUAAAGAAAUUAAACAUAAAUUAAUCUUAGUUAAAUCACCCAAACAAACAAGUCAAGCACCCACAUAUUUUUAGGCCCAAAUAUUUUUCAAUUAUCUAGACAAUAAAUCAAAUAUGAACAAGGGAUGGAUUUUAUAGUAAGUGAAAAAUUCAAUAUACAAGUUGGGCAGUUAGAGAAUUGGAGGACAAUUCAAAAUUAACGAGUUGUGGACACAAAUAGAGGCUGAGAUUUG
rnacentral:misc_RNA from 1 species